AGUAGCCAAUAGCACGACACUUUGAGUCGAGGUGGAUGAAUGGCAGCCAAUCAGCUCGCCACACCUUGGAGAGACACUGAGGCAACUCUGCCAGAAACUAGCAGCUACGGAAAAAGCGAAAUUGUCGCUGAGAGGAGCAGAAAUCCUCCAACUGCCGCGUUCGUUUCAGUGAUGUAGAGACAAAGGACUGAGUUGCUCUUUAAUAAAACAGGACCCAUGACCCUGACACGAGGUUCCUUCAGCUACUCCAAUGGUGAGGAGUACCACGGCGAAUGGAAAGAAGGCAAGACUGACCUGCUCACUCAGCUGUCCAUCCUCCAUCACUGGCUAAAUUUGCAUGCAGAACAGAAGUGUUCUUAUAAUGCCAGACAAUUAUAUGCAUGUCUGCGUCAUGGCCUGGGUCAGCUGACCUUCAGCGAUGGGACGUGCUACACUGGUCAGUUUGAGAACGGCCUCUUCAAUGGCUGUGGGGUGCUGGUCUUUCCUGAUGGUUCUAGGUAUGAAGGUGAAUUUGUGCAGGGCAAAUUUCAAGGCGCCGGCGUCUUCACUCGUUUCGAAGGGAUGAGGUUUGAGGGCGAGUUUAAAAGCGGCUGUGUGGACGGCUACGGAGUGCUGACGUUUUCGGACAGAGGCCCCGGCGGCGGCGGCAGCCAUGAGGGCCUGUUUGAGACCAACCAGCUGGUAAGGAGGGAGAACAGCCAGGGAGCUGUGCAACGAGCGCAAGCAGCAGCCGCCAAGGCCCGAGCUCUGGCCAUGUGACCUGGACUACAUCAACCACAGUGCCCCACUACCAGGAUCAUCCUCCUCCCUUCAUCCUCCUCUUGAGGUGCGAGAGGCCACGGGGAGACAUGAAACACUGAAACAACGGAACAAUGAAAGGUACACAGAACCGCAAGUCAACACACAUAUGGAGGGAUUUUGAACUCUGAUCACACAUCUCGGCAGGUCUAGUGAUUAUUUGUGGAGCUCGGCUGUCAGAAACCCCCCUCCUGCUCUCCCCCUGC